rnacentral:piRNA from 1 species
UUCAACAGAGGGUGUCUGUCUAUUGGUUA